GCUGGCGGCGUGCUUAACACAUGCAAGUCGAACGCUGAAGCCGCUUCGGUGGUGGAUGAGUGGCGAACGGGUGAGUAACACGUGGGCAAUCUGCCCUGUACUUCGGGAUAAGCCCUGGAAACGGGGUCUAAUACCGGAUAGGACACUGUCUCGCAUGGGGUGGUGUGGAAAGCUUCGGCGGUACGGGAUGAGCCCGCGGCCUAUCAGCUUGUUGGUGGGGUGAUGGCCUACCAAGGCGACGACGGGUAGCCGGCCUGAGAGGGUGACCGGCCACACUGGGACUGAGACACGGCCCAGACUCCUACGGGAGGCAGCAGUGGGGAAUAUUGCACAAUGGGCGGAAGCCUGAUGCAGCGACGCCGCGUGAGGGAUGACGGCCUUCGGGUUGUAAACCUCUUUCGCCCGGGACGAAGCGUAAUAGUGACGGUACCGGGAGAAGAAGCACCGGCUAACUACGUGCCAGCAGCCGCGGUAAUACGUAGGGUGCGAGCGUUGUCCGGAAUUAUUGGGCGUAAAGAGCUCGUAGGCGGUGUGUCACGUCUGCCGUGAAAACCUGCGGCUUAACCGUGGGCGUGCGGUGGAUACGGGCAUCACUUGAGUUCGGCAGGGGAGACUGGAAUUCCUGGUGUAGCGGUGGAAUGCGCAGAUAUCAGGAGGAACACCGGUGGCGAAGGCGGGUCUCUGGGCCGAUACUGACGCUGAGGAGCGAAAGCGUGGGGAGCGAACAGGAUUAGAUACCCUGGUAGUCCA
rnacentral:rRNA from 1 species